AUUGAACGCUGGCGGAAUGCUUUACACAUGCAAGUCGAACGGUAGAGGGGGCAACCCCUCGAGAGUGGCGAACGGGUGAGUAAUAUAUCGGAACGUGCCCAGUCGUGGGGGAUAACGUAGCGAAAGUUACGCUAAUACCGCAUACGAUCUAAGGAUGAAAGCGGGGGAUCGCAAGACCUCGCGCGAUUGGAGCGGCCGAUAUCAGAUUAGGUAGUUGGUGGGGUAAAGGCUCACCAAGCCAACGACCUGUAGCGGGUCUGAGAGGACGACCAGCCACACUGGAACGGAGACACGGUCCAGACUCCUACGGGAGGCAGCAGUGGGGAAUUUUGGACAAUGGACGCAAGUCUGUUCCAGCCAUUCCGCGUGCAGGAUGAAGGCCCUCGGUUUGUAAACUGCUUUUGUACGGAACGAAAAGGUCUCUCUUAAUACGGGGGGCUCAUGACGGUACCGUAAGAAUAAGCACCGGCUAACUACGUGCCAGCAGCCGCCGUAA
rnacentral:rRNA from 1 species